CCUGGGCGCCCGACCCAUCCGCCCAGCAGCUCCCACCAGCAGCCUCUCUGCAGGGCUCUAGGGGCUUCCCACGAGGUUGGGAGCCUAAGUCAGUCCUCCAUCAAGUCUGCUUUGUUUAAGCCUUCGCAUGUCUGGAGCGCAUCUCUACAUCGGUAUCCGACCCUCCUUCCCCACCUUGUGGUCACACGCGCUGAGUGAGACGGAGAAUGUAGCAGCCCGGACUCACCCCAGAUUUUACUUUCUCUUCGAGGGAAAACGAUGAAUUGCCUUCAAACUGCUGUGAUGAUGAAGUUUCCUUUUUGGCCACCAGAUCCACAUGGAAAUUAUGAAACAAACUUCAGCAAAAUUAAAUGAGUAGCCUGGUUUAGAGAAAAAGAAACAUUAACGUUAUUAUGGGGAAAGCAACUGAGCAGGCAAUUUCCUUCUUGAUGAUAGCUGAAGAACUUCUGAAAGUCGUGGAACACCAGGUAACUAAUGCAGGCCGAGACUACAGAGGCUUGGGCCAGCAACUUCUCCAUUACCUCUCCGGUAACAGUCAGUUCUUCCGAUGAGACGUGGUCUCCAGAAGUCCCCGGCGAGGCGGUGUGCAUUCCAGAUUCCACUUCAAUUAUUCACACGGGGACUGCAGUGCGGUAUCUGUCACUCAGACAGUCUCUCUGUCUCUGUCUCUCUCUCUCUUUCACUCACUUUUCUUUUAAAUAAGACAUGUUGUCCUCUAACCACAGACAAAAAUGUUGGGAGCUGACAUGUAUUUACUCUAAGUGGGGUUCUUGAUCCUGCUCUUUAGAAAAGGAAAUUUCCUGAACCUGUAAGGUAUGAGGGGCAACCCUCAAAACAGUUUUGGUAACCAUUUCAAGUGAUCUGGCAAUUAAAUAAGAGCAAAUCUCCAAGUCUUUUUGCCCCAUGCUUUGGGGAACUUGGGAUCCAUACCUGAGCUUUGAGGCAUUGACCUUCAAAUGCUGUGUUUUCUAUUUUAAAAACAGAAGAACCUUGUGUCUUUACUGCUGUUUUGGUGUGCUGAAGGAUUCGCUUUUUUUGACCCUAAGAAUCCAAACAGAACUGUUCAAAGCCUAUUCUUAAGGAUGCUGUUGACUGCUUGUGAACUGUCCAAAGUGCUUUGCUCUUAUGCUCACACAUCUCAGAGAAGAUCAACAAUUGGCAUCACUGUACUGUAACCCAAAGAGGAGCAGACAGCUCCAUGCAACACAGCUGGCAGUUGACAUCUGGGGUUUCUAAAUGUACAAAUGGUCAGACAGAGAGUCUUUCUGGACUACUAAGAACUAAGCAAUAGAAUAAUUAGAGAUGACAUUUAGAAAGAAAUUUGCCAUUGUAGCCCCAGAACAUCUCAGAUUUCACUGAUAAGUGGGGUGGUCUGACUGGCAGCCCAAGGGCCAAACUUUGCCCACAGAAAAUUCCUCUGCCUUGCUGGAAAUGGGGAACAGCUGUUAGGACUGCACACAAGGUCCAACAGCUGAAUGACCCCUAUGGUGCCUGUACAUAAUCAGUUAUUUAAACAGGACCUGCCACUGUUGCAUCCACGUGACUUGAAAGAUUGGCUGAGGGGAGAGGGAUGCAAAGGGAUUUAGCCAGAACCACUUGGAAAGGUUGCAUUGCCCGAAACGCUAAUAAUCAUAGUUAGCAUGUGUGGGAAAGGAUGCAGGUGUUUCUACAGUGGACUGGUAGGUCAGAUAGGGUCAGUAACACAUUAGAUCUUCCAUUUCUUAACUGUAUUCAAAUUCUACAAAACUUUGUAAGGUACAAAGGGUCCAAUGGCAUCACAUAUACCAGAGCUAGUAGUAAUGGCUAGCUUUUUUCAGUGCAGCAAGGUGUUGUCUGGACUGCCUAGGAGCAGGAAAUAUACAUUAGCCAAAGGAAAGGUGCAUUUUUAUACACUCAGUCGUACUAAGGCUUGAUUUGGCCAAGCAUCUCCACAGCUGUCUCAAGGGCCGUUAGCUUUGAGUUCAUGAGCCCGAAUUAGGUGACCAACACCCUGCAGCAGCUGGCACCCAGGAAUAAUAUUCACAGCAGCUGGGAUGCUGAGUACAGGGAUACAUAAGGAAAGCAGGAAGGCUGAGCAUGUAGAGAGCCCUACCUUUCUCCAGGACUUAGGCACUUACUGAGGCCCUGAGUCAGGCACCUGUGUACAAUGGGGAUUUGUGGACCCAAAUUAUUCCAUUCCUUUGGACAUGAGUAGCUGGCUCCUCAGGUAUAUACUGGAUGCUGUAACCAACCUCUAAGUGCUUGGCACAAAAUACAAUAGCCGUAACCACUUUCAUUCACCUGAAAGAGGAGACUGCUGUGUGCCUCCUCCGUAGUGGCUAGUUGUUGGCUUCCACACCAAGGAGAUGACAAGAAUCAGAGUGCAAUGUGCUUAAAUCUGGGUAAUGUGCAUCUGCUUCACAGCUCUACACAAAAUAUGUAUGUUCACCAUGGUGUGGUAGAGCCAGAGAGGACACAGAGUGUGUGAAAACCCUUCUGUCUGCUACUUGACCUGGCUGUGAAAAGCCCCUACUCAAGUCCAUUCCAACAUUACUGUAGAGAAGUUGUACUUUGAACAAAGGCAUGCAUAAGAAAAAUAGAAUUCUUAGGACAACUUUCCCUAAAUUUCCUAUCUUUCAAAGUCUGUGUGUCUAGCCAAGCCUUGUUUAGCUUGUGCAGAAAAAGUAGAGACUUCAUGUAUUACACAGCUACUUGAUCGCAUAACCUCAGAGUCUCCUUCCAUCUCCUUUUUGGCCAUCUCCUGAUGCUCUAGUUUAAAUACAGCACCAGUUUCACUAAUGAUAUGUUUUCACUGUGGUUGUUUGAGGGAAUAUCAGUAUUAGCAACACGAAGGAUCCAGAAAUCAUAAGUCAAUCCAUAAAAAGGCAAGAGGCUGCCUUAAAAAUCUGUUUUUAAAAUGCAGUAAGUGUGUACAAUUCAUUCUAUCUGACUUCUGCAUUUCCAUAUUGAGACUCUUACUUUCAAGAUUUUCUCCUCCAACAUGAUUUGAAACAAAGUGCUGGCCCAGGAGCUUGGCCUGCCAAAAAACACUAGAUAUCUUGGGACUCACAAUGUAAUUGUAUAAACUGACAGUAUGGUACAGCUGUUUGUAAGACUAUCCUGGCAUUUAAACUUGCUGCAUAAAAAAUCUCGAGUGGUGCAAAAUGUUGCUAGACUGGUAUGGUAGUUGACUUUGCAAAGGUGUAACGGGCAGUGAAGGAUGAGUGGUCCAGUGAUUAAAGUGUUAGCUGCCACCAUGGUUCCUCACCUGCCACAGACUUCCCACGCAACCUUGGGCAAGUCACUUGGCUUUUCUUGUCCUGUUUCCUCCCAUUGCAAAAGGUGGGGCAUCUUCCCACCUCAGAGAGAUGUUGGGGAAAUAGGUAUGUUAAAAGUAUGAAAUCAGGUAUUGCAGUUUUUGAGAGAUUGGGUGAGAGUGGUAAAGUUUCUAGGGUAUGUUCUACAAGGUGAAAACAAUAGAGAACCAGUUAACCUGGAUUCAGCAACGGAAUUUAUUUAUUAUGCUAAAUUUAUUUCACGAAACUAUAAUAUUAAGCAAAGUUCCCUCUUUCCCAAACUUACAACUAAAUUCUGCUAAGAGGGCUCGCAGAGAAAGCUUCCCUUUCUUCUUCAGCCGUUCUGAAAUACAAGUGUUUUUCUCAUUCCAAAAUUAUAGCUUCAUGAGCAUCCUCAUGCGGGUAUAAAGCCAAGCUGCUUGGUUAAUAUCAAGCAGUGGGCUUUCCACUUAGUUCUCAGCUCUCUUAACCCUUUAACAAAAAGGGUUAAAAGCCUGUUGCCAAGUAGGACACAAUAAGGAGUUUGGCUUCACAAGUUAGUUAGCAGGGAAAUCCCUCCAGGUCUUGGCAUUUCAAGUUAAAUAGCUCUGCAUGUCGGCAGAGCCUCCAAAGUUCAGGAGCACUGUCCAAGCGGCCCCUUUACGCAGUCUGUUCCGUGCGCUCGCCGAACGGCGCACCCGGCCCCGGCAGCGAGAGGCUGCUUCGCAACCCUUCGCUAAAAGGGCUAUCUCCAAACAGAGCCACAGAGCCGUGGCUCCCAGUGCUUACAGUGACACCGUUUUAAGGCUGGCUCAGAGCUUGCUAUGGACCUCUUCAGCGUCCUUCACUUCUUCCUGUGGCUUUGUGAUGCAGCUGAAUUACAAAUACUAUAAAGAUGUAUCCAAAGUAGAAUGAGAUCAUGUUUUCUACCCUCCCAAGCUUCUGUGGGUUCACAACAUGGUUCCACUUUUGACUCAUCUCUAGAAAUUAACUUCCUUUCUUUCUGCCAAAAAUGGUGAUCCGCAAGCCAGUCUGACGCAAGGUAAUUUGUCCUGUUUACAUGAUGACUUUGAUAAGGCAUAGAGAUUACUGCUCUUCCUUCAUAACAAAAUAACAGUUUGUUUGUGUGCUAUAAUCCUGAGUGACGUUUUUUACUGUAAGAGCUUGAAUGCAACAAUAAUUUGGAGACAAUUCUUGGUUGUAAAGCUAAAAAAACACUUUAAAUACGCUGUUGGUGUCUUUGCUUCUAGCUUGCAUGUAUCCCUGGGGCAGGCUCUUCUCAGCAGUCACAGAUAAGCCUCAAAGAAGCAGGGCCAUUGAUUGACAGCUCAUUAGAAGUUGCAGGAGCAACAAAAUACAAACUACAGACCUUCUCUUUCUCUCUGCCGAGCUCGGGAGGCGUGCUGGUCAGCAGUGGCCUGAGUGGAACAAAGACCGCAGGAGACAUAGGAGGAAAACAACAUGAAAUUUUAAUGGUCUUCUAGAAAGGCCAGGUGUAAUGGAUCAGGGCCAACGCCUCCCCUGCCCCCACUGCUUUGCUGCAUAUAUUUACUUUCUAUAUAUAGGCACAAACCAAGAGUAUAGAUUGUGCCAUAUGGCACGUACACAAGUUCACAGAAUCCUAACUUCUAUACACCAGAAAGUAUUUAUCUGUAAAUCCAUUUAUAAAUAAAAGUCUCCAAGUAUAUACAGUGUUAAUAUAAUACUUAUUAGAUGUCACUGCUGUAGUCUUAGAUAAGGUCACACAUGAAGCCAAAUUCACCCCUGCAGUGCAAGCCAGGCGAGUUUUACUAGGAAUGUAUUUGGCUUAAUGUGUCCGCCUGUAGUUAUAUUUGUUUUUACAAAUCCUCUUUAUCUCUCGAGUAAGCAUGGUUUUAGAACAUUUCUACCAGGCACAGGCCAACCCACCUUCAACCUGUGAACUAGUGUGUCUGUUUCUUUAGCUUCCCACAGUGGUCCUUCCAGCCCCCUGCUCCCCACUCUGGGGUCCUUGCUCUUCAGACAUCUAAAAUCCUUUUCACUAUACUUCAGGAUUAGUGACAGCCCUCUCUGAAACCUGUAGUUGCUAAAUAUUGAGAAAAGUUCAUAAGAAAUUAAAGGAAAAUGAGCCUUUGUCCUCUUUAUGGAAUGUCAUCUAACAAUAACCUCAACUGAUUUUUAGUUGAAUUUUUUCCACUGCUUUUUUUCCCCCAAAUUUCCUCUUUUCCAUGCUGAGGGGUAUUCCAUUUAAGCUCUAAGUGUGCUUGGUGCCAAAGACCAUGUUUUUUCUAUUCCUGUAAGUCAUCUAGUUAGACUUCUUGUGUAAGUACUCAGAAAAAGAGUAGUGAUUCGCUUUCAUGAAUAGCCAGUCACAGGGGCUUCAAAUUUAUCUUCUGUAAGCUUUCAGACUAGUAGAUCAGCAUGGCUGAAUUACAUUUGUUUUGGUAUUUUAAAUACAAUGAGUACAUGCAGAAUCUUUUGUAGGAUGCUCCUAAAUUUGGGAAUGCCAUGAAGGAAACACUGGACUUUACGAGGAAAUUUCUAAAAGAACAUACAGGUGGUAUGCAACAAGUGCUGACAGAGUAUUCGAACUUAGAAACUUUUACACCCUGCUUAUUUCUAUUUGCAUAAAAAUUUUACUGAUUGAGGAGAGACACCAUUUUGCAACAUGAACAAAUUGAGACACUGGACAUUAUUAUGGCAUGGAAUUUAUUGAUAAAACCUAAGUCCACGACCUCAGCUCUUCAGUAAGCAUAAAUUAACUUCAGUUAAGCUGAUAGCUGUAACAACAUAGGCAUAAAAAUGGGGUAAGCAAGCAUAUAAUAGAGUUCAGUUUCAAAGAAAGAAAAAACCACUGCUCCUUUAAAACAGUAAUAAUAUUUUUCACUUCUUUAAUAUGUUUUCAGAUAUCAAAGUUAUACAAGUGAUGUGUGAAAUUACAUCUUUAUUUUAGCAAUAGAAACUCUGAGUCCUGAGACAGGCAACGUGAUUUGCCUAAGAUUCCCCAGAGAUUCAUUACGAGUCAUCUUUCACUGCUUUUGUCUAGCUUCUGCUCAUUCUUGAUCUAAUUUUACUUUCACUUAGGCAUGAACUCCCAUCUAACUCUUCAACAAACCUCCAAAGUGCUAUCCACUGUAACACACAGUAAAGAACUGGAGCUUGCAUAGUCUCUGCAUACGCUAAUCAACUCAUUUCAAUCAACUCUGAGCCAGUACACAGAAAGGUACGAUAUGCACCCUUUCUCCUAUACGGUAAUACAUGCCUUUCCUCGGUAGUUGCUCCCUAGUUACAGUGAAUUGAGAGGAAAUACUGAAUUCUGUGAUUCUGCGAUUCCGUGAUAAAGCUGCUCAUUCUUUGGGGCUGUUACUGUGUCGGCUUCCCAGAGAACCGCGCAACACAAAGGCAAAGUAGCGCUCUGCGGGUACCUGCCGUUCCCAGGGGGGCUGACACAGGACUUGCCAUAUCCCUCCAUUGUGAUUUCCCUUCAAAAAUAAUACAAUACUUUACAGAAAGCCCAAAACACAAUCAUAUGACUCAGCAAUUUGGAUCUGUGGACUAUCAAGACAGCUCUGUAAGAGUGGCAAUACCUAUUCUUGUUAUUGAAAUGCUGGCAAUUCCCUUGCUAUAUGCACAAAGCAAAGGCUAGAUAAAGGAAUCUAGCAAGAGAGACAGCCUGCUCCUUUCAGCGCUACCACCGAGCCUCUGGUUAUUCUUGGACAUGUCAGCUAGUGUUAGUGUGAAUAAUCAUAUACUAAAAUAAUAGCAAGGAAAACAAAGACAGAAAUAACAGAGUUGUCAAACCUGGUGAGUGGAAGGCCAGCUAGCAGCUCAAACUGGAUACUUAUGAUCAGAAACAGACAGACGAGGUAGCUGUCUCAGUCUCCCUGUCAAUAAAAUAGGACACUUGCUUACCUUCCCCCCUCGAUUACCAUACCAAUACUCUUGUGAAGUGCUUUGACAACGGAGAGCACCAGCUACAGUCAGGAAGACUCAGUGGUGCUGUGAGCAAGCAUCUCCAGUGCCCUUCCUUGGCAGGAGAGAAAAAGAGAAAGAUGAUUAAAAAAUGAGACCAGGUGGUAGAAAGAAAGGGAACUGGUGGAACAGCAAAAGAGAUGAGAGGAAGAAAAGAAGAGAGACUGCAGCGGGAAAUAGAGGCAGAGGUAUGAGAAAGAAAAACUAGCAGAAAAUUGUAAUGAGAGAAGGAAAAGAAGAAUAUGAAAGUUAAUUUAACCAGAAAUAGUCCUUCUGGUUAGUCCCCAGGGAAAGGGAGUGAUGAGUCAGAUCAGGUGUUAGCCUGGGCAGCACCAGUGGGGAAGCCACGGUACUUCCCCAAAGGGGAACAAACAAAUUGUGAGUCAUGUAAGUCGAAGGAGAGGUUGCUGCAUUUCUGUUGGCAUCACAACUCACUCACCUUACAUUAGCAAUCUAGAGGUAGGACCCAAAGCUCUCAACCAGCUGAACGGCUCUGUUUGCUUUUCUCUGCCUUCUCCUCCUGCUCCUCUGAAACCAGCAGAUAGCCUGCUGCCCAUUUGAAACCUCUGCAAAAGCUUUAAUGGCUUCGGGUUCAUUGGUACAAAGUCAGCUUUCAACCUUCCCACUUUCUUUUUGCAAAGAGUCUUUACUCCAGUAAAGAAAAAACUUUUUUUCCCCAAGUUUUUCUCAACCCAGAAAUUCUGGGCAAGAUUUUAAAACAUAGGGCAAUGCUCAGACGUGACUUUGGCACCCAAGGUGCCACAGGCAUUUGAGAACAUGACCCUUUGGGGUUUAACACAUUCCAGUAAAGUAACUCUUGAAAUGAAGCAUGCUAUUUUUCAAUUACAAACUACUUUUUCCAUGGAUUUUUUUGAAACUAUUAUGUUUGUGUCUCCCUCUAAAGAGGAACAUUCUUGAACUUAGCUAUUUUUUUGUUCCAGACUGCCCUAUUUUUUUUGUUCCAGAGCAACCCCCAAAUUUUUCUUUUCUUCGUAAAAAUAGAUUGUUUAAAGAACUGGAAACAAAUACUGAAAAUCAGUCCAGAGAAUUUCAUGUUCUAUCAUGAAUUUUCCACAUAUGUCAAUUUGCUCUGUAUUUGUACACUCUCAGCACUAGGCAGUGAGAAGGGAUGGGAGCUUGAAAGAAGAUAAUCUCCCCUUAACAGAAUGGACAAAAAUAAUAUUUGUCACUUGCUAGCAUCUUUCAGAGGAACUCAGUAUGUUUUUCUCUAAAGUAUUAUUCACACUGCACACCUGAAGAAACUGAACCAGAAAGCAAUUAAGUGACUUCCAUUGCACUAUUAGGUCUUUGACUGACCCAGGAAUACAAGCACCAUUUUUAAUUUCCCCACACCCUUCAGUUCAGGUGAUUCUUUCUGCCUUUCUAGCAGUGGGUGGCCUACUAGAUUUCCAUGAUAGGGCCAUAAAAAUGAAAAAGACUGUAAGAAAGCAGCGAUGGACACCUCUCCAGAUUUAAGGAGAGUCUUUACAGUGGUUUUGUAAGAAGAUCUCAUCUAUCUCUUUAAUAAAUAAAGAAUUUGGGUGACACAGGACCUUCUUGUCUCCAAUGGAGGACAUUUUCCUCCGGGGAACCUGAAGCUCAGUUAUUAAAAAUGAAAAUCUGUCUCAGCCUUUCAACUCAGUUCUUGGAAACACCAGCUGUUAAAAAGGGGAGAGGAAGAUAGGAGCCAAACGACGGAUGCUUUUCAGAUAAAGCUUUCCUGCAAUCUUGGUGCUAGGACAGCUGCAUCCGACUACACAGAGGAGAACAGGUGAGCUAUGACGUUUGUUACCUAGCACACAGAAAAUGUUGAGUUUCCUUGUAGGUGCUAACUACAAGAAGUGCUGAACACAUUCAUAAAUCGAACCCAGAGAAAAACCCUCUUCCCAAGACUGUCUGAUAAAACUUUAUUGUCCCCAGGUUCAGGUGGGAAAAGGGGUUUUGUGAGUAGGGGAGGUACUGUGAUGAACUCAUGGAUCGUCAGUUGCAAACAUUCCUUCAGGAAAAUUGUAAAGCUUCCUGUUGUGCCAUUUUUUUUUCAGAUUUACUUUCCAGGCUUUGAGAUUUGCCAGAAAGUUGUUUUUUCUUACCAGAACUGUAGAGUCUAUCCAUCCUAGUUUUACAGGAAUUUGGAGAUGAUUUGCCAUUGGAUUCACUGGUAUAAGAAUCAGGUGUUCAGUUUUUAUCUUAGCCCUAAUGGGUGUGUGUAUAUAUAAACAAAAUAUUGCAUUUACAAUGGAUAUAGUGAAAACAAGAAGUCAAAGAAUCAAAAGGAAAGUUUUCUGUAUCUGCCAGUGGAAAUAGAUUAUUUUGCUUUCAUAACAAUCUUUAUCUUUUGUGUUACAUAGAAAACUUCAAACAUGAGAAUUUAUUAAAACCAUUAGCUGAAGACAAUAAAGACAAACAUCAAAAAGUGUUUUAAGAAUAUCCUAUAGGUUGGGAAACAGAGGAUAGAAAUUUACAUACAAAAAUAAAGGGCCUGAACUUACAAACACGAUAUUAAAUGCAGAGACUCUUCCAAAAGGUAUUUUGAGCUGAAUAUUUAACAUCUUGUAUGCUCUUCAUGAAACUGGAAGGGAAAUGUGGGAUUGGAGCAACAAAAUAAAACUCUUUCAACUUUCUUCUUUUAUUUUCUUAAAGAAGUAGAUAAAAAUGUCAAGCAGUUGGCAGAUUUGAGAACUAGAUGUUCCUUUUGAAUUACUGGCAGAACUGGGUAAUUCUGGUUGUAUUCCCAGUUUUGCUUUCUAACUAGUUUGAAUUUUAUUGCACCUAGGACUUAAUGCUCCACUGUGCUGAACAUCCCCAACAGUCCCAUAUUACAGUAGGAAACAUAAACGCUCAGCACUGGGGGUCAAGUUUCUCUGCUUUAUCUUCACAUUUAUGGUAGUCAAACUCUAUUUUUCCACCAUUUUCCAUCCAAAUAUGAAUGUUUUUAAGGUCAAAUCUCAAGAAGUAACACUGAGCAGUUACCCAAAGAAACGUAAUACACUGUGCAGGUUCCAACCAAAGGUCCACUUAGCCCAGUGUGCAAUUUUGACAGAGGCCAAUAGCAGAAAAUAGCAGAGAGGCCAAUAGUUAGAGAAUAGUUAGAGAAACAGUAUUAUAAAAUGCAAUAUACUAACACAACCUCCUGCUUCUGUAAGGUGGGAAUGAUAAUAUAUCUUUAUUCUUCUGGGACCAUAUGCAGUGCAUUUUAUUUUAUUAGGACCUGAUUCUGCAAAGACUUUUCUAUUUUAUAUCCCGUGAGUAGCAUUGGGAAUAAUCAAAAAGAAGGGAAUUUAGAAUCUGUGUAUCUGCUCUAGGAUAGGGUUUAUUACUGUUGUUAACUGAAAAAACAGUGGCAAAAAUGACUGGGGAAUUUUUCAAAAAAAAAAAUCUUAUAAAAUGCAUCACUUGGAUAUUUUAAAUUUAUUAUUUCAAAAGAAAAAUUCUUCACUCAAACUUAAGCCUUUUAUGAUGGACUUCUAGUCACAGAAACAAAAUAUCUUACACAGUCAAGGUGAAGAGUGUGGUGUCAGGCCCCAGAGGUCACACAUUAGUUAGCUGUCACAUUUAGCAGCACAGUAACUUCCCAGGCAGUGAUAUAGACCAAAGACCUAAUCCUGCAAGGCACCAAGUGUUUCUGGUGAAUCCUGAGCAUCUUCAGUGUCUGUUACAAGUAAUGAUCAAAAAUGCACUUGGCAUUUUCGAGUCUGAUCCUACUCCUCAUUAUACAUUAUAUACAUAUGUUGCUUUAAUAUCUAGGAUAGUCCCCUUAUGAAAUCACAGUAGCAGAGUCUAACAUCUGAGUGAUUUUAUCCUGCACAAGUGGUUUGAGAACACAGGAGGGAAACAAAUGACAAAGGUAGAAGGGAACUCAUAUGAAGUGAGAUGGUAAAGACAAGCAGUGGAAGAAAGCCAGAGAUGAGAAAGCCAGAAAUGAGUGAAUUGAACAUCACCAAUAAAAUGUAUAUGAACAAA